rnacentral:misc_RNA from 1 species
UUGUAACAAAAAAGGUGCCAGGGCUGUCGCUGACCCUCAAAGGUCGUGCACGUCCGAAGUGCUUUUUAACACAAUCCAUCUCACCCCUUUUGUGCAUCACCGCGUGGGUUUCGUCCUUUGCGGGAAGGACCUGCGUUUUUAUCAUAAAACUUGAUACAGUGUAGAAUGUUUAUUUUUGCGAUCACACGCAAUCAAUA